rnacentral:rRNA from 1 species
UACGAAGGUGGCAAGCGUUGUUCGGAUUUACUGGGCGUACAGGGAGCGUAGGCGGUUGGAUAAGCCCUCCGUGAAAUCUCCAGGCUAACCUGGAAAGUGCAGAGGGGACUGUUCAGCUAGAGGAUGGGAGAGGAGCGCGGAAUUCCCGGUGUAGCGGUGAAAUGCGUAGAGAUCGGGAGGAACACCAGAGGCGAAAGCGGCGACCUGGACAAUUACUGACACUCAACUACGAAAAGCGUGGGGAGCAAACAGG